ensembl:lncRNA
CUAGCAUGGCGUUUUCAGCCACAUGGUGCCCGCUUCCUUUGUAAUCCAGGACUUUGCUUCUGCCGAAGGUCACCCCCUUUGGAGGGUGAUUCCCACGGAGGAGAAACGGGAAGGCAGCAAGCUUUGAUCUGGUGUGGGCAGGCAGGGAAGGGAGAAGGGAUAUCCCUCAAAGAGUCCCCACUGUGGGCAGCCUCUGCUCCCCACCCUACCCCCACCCCCAUUGCCACCUUAGAAAAGUCCGUGUCAUCCAUGUGGUCCUGGUGAUCGAGUCUGUUCAGAGCUCCGUGGGUCUGUAGCUGCUGAGAAGGGCCUAUUUCUGUUCUGGAGACGAAAGACCAACGGUGCAGGUGUACAAAAGCAUGAGGACACCAGCACGAAGAAGGGGCUAUCGGUGGCAGCAUCACCUCCCUCCUCCCAGCCUGGCUCCCUCCUGCUUCCCCUGAAUUCUAGAAAGGACGCUGGGCUGCUGGGCCGCCAGCUGCCUGCUGUUCCUCCUGAUUCAUCGCAGCCCAGGUUCUGGCCUCCUGCACAGAAGCAACCCCAGACUCCAGAACUCCAGACUCCAACCCCAGAAGCACGUCCUGACUCGGCUGGUCAGACGUCCGGUGCUUGAGAUCAAAUCCCAACCCCAUCGCUGUUUUGCUGUGAGAUGCUGGGGAGAGUGGGGUGUGUGGAGGAGACUAGAAGACAGCUGAUUGUGAGCUCUGCAGCUUGGGAGUGUGACUGUGGGAAGGUGAC